rnacentral:rRNA from 1 species
UACGAAGGGGGCUAGCGUUGUUCGGAAUUACUGGGCGUAAAGCGUGCGCAGGCGGCUUCUCAAGUCAGGGGCGAAAGCCCAGAGCUCAACUCUGGAAUUGCCUUUGAGACUGAGUGGCUUGAGUACGAGAGAGGUGAGUGGAAUUCCCAGUGUAGAGGUGAAAUUCGUAGAUAUUCGGAAGAACACCAGUGGCGAAGGCGACUUACUGGACACAUAUUGACGCUGAGGUGCGAAAGCGUGGGGAGCAAACAGG